rnacentral:rRNA from 1 species
AAGACUGGGAUAACUCCGGGAAACCGGGGCUAAUACCGGAUGCUUGAUUGAACCGCAUGGUUCAAUUAUAAAAGGUGGCUUUUAGCUACCACUUACAGAUGGACCCGCGGCGCAUUAGCUAGUUGGUGAGGUAACGGCUCACCAAGGCAACGAUGCGUAGCCGACCUGAGAGGGUGAUCGGCCACACUGGGACUGAGACACGGCCCAGACUCCUACGGGAGGCAGCAGUAGGGAAUCUUCCGCAAUGGACGAAAGUCUGACGGAGCAACGCCGCGUGAGUGAUGAAGGUUUUCGGAUCGUAAAACUCUGUUGUUAGGGAAGAACAAGUACCGUUCGAAUAGGGCGGUACCUUGACGGUACCUAACCAGAAAGCCACGGCUAACUACGUGCCAGCAGCCGCGGUAAUACGUAGGUGGCAAGCGUUGUCCGGAAUUAUUGGGCGUAAAGCGCGCGCAGGCGGUUUCUUAAGUCUGAUGUGAAAGCCCCCGGCUCAACCGGGGAGGGUCAUUGGAAACUGGGGAACUUGAGUGCAGAAGAAGAGAGUGGAAUUCCCCGUGUAACGGUGAAAUGCGUAAAAAUGUGGAAGAACCCCAAUGGCGAAGGCGACUCUUUGGUUUGGUACUGAAGGUUAAGCCGGGAAGGCUGGGGAGCGGACCAGAAUAAGUAACCUGGUUGUUCCCGCCGGUAACGAAUAAUGCUUAAUGGUAAAAGGGUUUCCGCCUUUAAUGGUGCCAGCAACGCCAUUAACCAUUCGGCUUGGGAAGACCGGUCCCAGAAUGGAAAUUCAAAGGAAUGGACGGGGGCCCGCCCAACCGGGGAAGCAGGGGGUUUAAUUCGAAGCAACGCGAAGAACCUUACCAGGUCUUGACAUCCUCUGACAACCCUAGAGAUAGGGCUUCCCCUUCGGGGGCAGAGUGACAGGUGGUGCAUGGUUGUCGUCAGCUCGUGUCGUGAGAUGUUGGGUUAAGUCCCGCAACGAGCGCAACCCUUGAUCUUAGUUGCCAGCAUUCAGUUGGGCACUCUAAGGUGACUGCCGGUGACAAACCGGAGGAAGGUGGGGAUGACGUCAAAUCAUCAUGCCCCUUAUGACCUGGGCUACACACGUGCUACAAUGGGCAGAACAAAGGGCAGCGAAGCCGCGAGGCUAAGCCAAUCCCACAAAUCUGUUCUCAGUUCGGAUCGCAGUCUGCAACUCGACUGCGUGAAGCUGGAAUCGCUAGUAAUCGCGGAUCAGCAUGCCGCGGUGAAUACGUUCCCGGGCCUUGUACACACCGCCCGUCACACCAC